rnacentral:rRNA from 1 species
CGCCUUGCCAGCCCGCUCAGAAACUUAAAUGAAUUGACGGGGCCCGCACAAGCGGUGGAGCAUGUGGUUUAAUUCGAUGAUACGCGAGGAACCUUACCUGGGCUCAAAUGUAUGUUGACGUAUUCUGAAAGGGAUACUUCUUCGGACAAUAUACAAGGUGCUGCAUGGUUGUCGUCAGCUCGUGCCGUGAGGUGUCAGGUUAAGUCCCAUAACGAGCGCAACCCCUAUCAUUAGUUGCCAUCAGGUCAAGCUGGGGACUCUAAAGGGACUGCCGGUGUUAAACCGGAGGAAGGUGGGGAUGACGUCAAGUCCUCAUGGCCUUUAUGACCAGGGCUACACAUGUACUACAAUGGCCGAUACAAAGGGCAGCGACACUGCGAGGUGAAGCCAAUCCCGUAAAAUCGGUCUCAGUCCGGAUUGGAGUCUGCAACUCGACUCCAUGAAGUUGGAAUCGCUAGUAAUCGUGGAUCAGCAUGCCACGGUGAAUACGUUCCCGGGCCUU